GCAUGUGGCACCAGCCCUGGGAGAAUGACGGGUCCUAGUUCCUGGAGCUAAACCUGCGACAGCCUGGCAGCCAGAUCACUUGAAGCCAUCCCAGGCUCCCUGUAGGAGGGACACCAGGGCCCCAAACCCCCACGGCUAAAGGAUGGCUCCAGACUCUAAAUAUACAGCCAGUCACGACUUGAAGAAGAAAGACUUCGCUGUAGAUUCUAUAAAGGCUUUCUCUGGCUCUCUGGGGAGUGAGGGAACCUCCAUAGUUACGAGUGAACCCCACCUGGGCCAGGGAAGAGACUGGACAUAUGUGUGUGUGUUGAGAGGGGAGGACGGGGUGGGGGGGAGAUGGGAAGGGAUGGAGCUGUCCAUCCUAUGCAAGUAGCAAGCAGAUCUCUCUCUCUCCAUCCCCCCCCUCCCUUUGUCUCCCCUUCUCUCUCUCUCUCUCUCUCUCUCUCUCUCUCUCUCUCUCUUUCCCUCCACCCCCACCCCAGCCUCUCCUCUAGGAUGGAGAGAAUCAGCUCUGAGAUAGCCUGUUUCUGUGCUUUGGGAAAUCCACUACCACCACCUUUGGUUACAAAAGCCUCAAAGCUGCUCCUGAAAUAUUUCUUGGAGCAAACUGGGCCGUUAGCCCGGCUGGCAGGAGCCUUACGGGUGCUGCGUCGGGCGGGCUCGGGUUUGGCUGAGCUGGAGCUGUGUUUGGGGUGUCUUGCUCUCCUCUCCCAGGUGAGGGUAGACGCGUUGGCUGUGUGCGCUCUGAGACAACCUUGACCUUGAACUGUGGUUCCUUCUGGAGGAUCUUUGGAAUGUGACUCCCGGGCAGGGCGAGGCCGGGAACACACAACCGCCCACACAGCCAACCAGGAAGCCACUAAAAUGAAUUGGCAGAUGCAUCAGUGCUGAUAGGAAUGGUCUCCACCACCUUCUGCUAAGUGAAAAGUACCUGACGGUGUGAUCCCACGUGUCCACGGAGAGUUUCUACCAGGUUCCAGCCCUGCCUCCCCCUGCGACUGCUGCUGCUGGGGCCAAUCGUGGGUCCCUAGGUAGCCUAUGGAUUUUGACGUUCCGUGAUUCCCCUUGCACCCCCAAGACACCCCAAUCCCCUGAGGCAGGUACUACUAUAAUGAUGCCCAACAGAAAGAAAAAAAGAAAACAACUGUGGAUUGGAGCAGCUUAGUCCCCUGUCAACUAAAGGUCAAGCUGGGAUGGCACGGUCUGCCUGGCACAGAAGCCUGGCUGUCACAUGUGGGACACAGAUACCUGUGAGGUGUAAGUGAGAAUCCCUCACCUGGACCUGUCGGGGACAUCCUCAGAUUUCACUACUGUUCACAGUGCCUGUGUUGAUGCUCGACCUGUGUCUCUCCAACACAAUAAGUCAGCCAUAGGAACUCGCUCCUACACACAGCCAGUCGUGAACCAUGGAAAACCACAGGGAAUGCCUUUAGCUUUCAUGAAUUAAUGGUUCCUGCUUUGCAUUUCCUUGUACGAUGACAGUCUACCACUGCUUACUUCUCUUUGGCAUGUGUGAUGCCGAAUGGAAACAGGCUCAGGAAAAAAGCAAACUAAACCUGGCCCUCAAUUUCCCAAGCGAGAUUUCCAUCUUAGUUUUGCCUAAAUGGACUCCUGGCCUUUCAUAACUUUUGUGUGGUCGUCUUUGACCUGAAGACAGACAUGCUGAUGGCCGACAGGGCCGCCGCCACCAUGCCCCCUCCUCUCCUCUGGCAGAUUUCCUCCCCCUGGCCGUGGGGUGCUCUCCCUUUGGUCUACAAGCCCACUCAGUCCUUGGCUUCCACUCAUCUGAUUCCUCUCCCACUUUUGAGAAGGGAAAGGAAGACUCCCAUAGAGAAUCCCAAAAUAGCAAUUCCUUGAGCCUUGGCCUUAGAAAAGAAAUGAAUUCUGUGCUCAAAAAUGUCUGCCUUGCCAUAUGUCCAGUCAUAAAACCGGGCAUCCCGAGGAGGGCUGUCUGUGCCUCCCAGAGCUAUGGUUGGGAGCCAGUCCUCUCUUGGAGUGCUCUGGAAGUCUUCAGUCCUGCUCACCUCCCCACCUGCCACAGGGUGAUGAUUCCACACCUUCUACUCCCUUCUCUACUCCUCCACCUCACUCUCAGCUGAUGGCCUUGCUUCCUAUGAUGCUGACAAACAGAAGGGAACUUCCACGUGCUCCACCCCUGCAUGUGCCACAUGCCCUGCCUCCUCGUCCUCCCCUCACAGAUAUACUAUCCAUGCUCCUCAUCAAAGCUCCACCUCUCGUGUCAAGGACAUCCCAUAAAA